rnacentral:tRNA from 1 species
GCCUUCGUGGUGUAGUGGUUAGCACGCUCGACGCGUAACCGAGAGGUCCGUGGUUCGAUUCCUAACAAAGGCU